GACGAACGCUGGCGGCGUGCCUAAUACAUGCAAGUAGAACGCUGAAGGAGGAGCUUGCUUCUCUGGACGAGUUGCGAACGGGUGAGUAACGCGUAGGUAACCUGCCUGGUAGCGGGGGAUAACUAUUGGAAACGAUAGCUAAUACCGCAUAAUAGUAGAUGUUGCAUGACAUUUGCUUAAAAGGUGCAAUCGCAUCACUACCAGAUGGACCUGCGUUGUAUUAGCUAGUUGGUGGGGUAACGGCUCACCAAGGCGACGAUACAUAGCCGACCUGAGAGGGUGAUCGGCCACACUGGGACUGAGACACGGCCCAGACUCCUACGGGAGGCAGCAGUAGGGAAUCUUCGGCAAUGGACGGAAGUCUGACCGAGCAACGCCGCGUGAGUGAAGAAGGUUUUCGGAUCGUAAAGCUCUGUUGUAAGAGAAGAACGAGUGUGAGAGUGGAAAGUGCACACUGUGACGGUAUCUUACCAGAAAGGGACGGCUAACUACGUG
rnacentral:rRNA from 1 species